CCUGGCUCAGAACGAACGCUGGCGGCGUGCUUAACACAUGCAAGUCGAACGCGAAAGGGACUUCGGUCCUGAGUAAAGUGGCGCACGGGUGAGUAACGCGUAGAUAACCUGUCUUCAUGUCUGGAAUAAUACGCCGAAAGGGGUACUAAUACCGGAUAUUCUUGCUUUUCAUAAGUUAUGCAAGCAAAGGUGGCCUCUGCAUAUGCUACUGCAUGAAGAGGGGUCUGCGUACCAUUAGCUAGUAGGUGGGGUAAUGGCCUACCUAGGCGACGAUGGUUAGCGGGUCUGAGAGGAUGAUCCGCCACACUGGCACUGGAACACGGGCCAGACUCCUACGGGAGGCAGCAGUGAGGAAUAUUGCGCAAUGGGGGAAACCCUGACGCAGCGACGCCGCGUGAGUGAGGAAGGCCUUCGGGUCGUAAAGCUCUGUCAAGAGGAAAGAAGUGUACAAUGGCUAAUACCUGUUGUAUUUGACGGUACCUCUAAAGGAAGCACCGGCUAACUCCGUGCCAGCCGCCGC
rnacentral:rRNA from 1 species